rnacentral:rRNA from 1 species
GAUGAACGCUGGCGGCGUGCCUAAUACAUGCAAGUCGAGCGAACAGACGAGGAGCUUGCUCCUCUGACGUUAGCGGCGGACGGGUGAGUAACACGUGGAUAACCUACCUAUAAGACUGGGAUAACUUCGGGAAACCGGAGCUAAUACCGGAUAAUAUAUUGAACCGCAUGGUUCAAUAGUGAAAGACGGUUUUGCUGUCACUUAUAGAUGGAUCCGCGCCGCAUUAGCUAGUUGGUAAGGUAACGGCUUACCAAGGCAACGAUGCGUAGCCGACCUGAGAGGGUGAUCAGCCACACUGGAACUGGGACAAGGUCCAGACUCCUACGGGAGGCAGCAGUAGGGAAUCUUCCGCAAUGGGCGAAAGCCUGACGGAGCAACGCCGCGUGAGUGAUGAAGGUCUUCGGAUCGUAAAACUCUGUUAUUAGGGAAGAACAAAUGUGUAAGUAACUAUGCACGUCUUGACGGUACCUAAUCAGAAGGCCACGGCUAACUACGUG